rnacentral:rRNA from 1 species
CUUCGGACAAAGNUUUAUCGCCUUUGGAUGGGCCCGCGUUGGAUUAGCUAGUUGGUGGGGUAAAGGCCUACCAAGGCGACGAUCCAUAGCUGGUCUGAGAGGAUGAUCAGCCACACUGGGACUGAGACACGGCCCAGACUCCUACGGGAGGCAGCAGUGGGGAAUAUUGGGACAAUGGGCGAAAGCCUGAUCCAGCAAUGCCGCGUGAGUGAUGAAGGCCUUAGGGUUGUAAAGCUCUUUUACUGGGGAUGAUAAUGACAGUACCCAGAGAAUAAGCUCCGGCUAACUCCGUG